rnacentral:rRNA from 1 species
ACGAACGCUGGCGGCGUGCCUAAUACAUGCAAGUUGAGCGCUGAAGGUUGGUACUUGUACCAACUGGAUGAGCAGCGAACGGGUGAGUAACGCGUGGGGAAUCUGCCUUUGAGCGGGGGACAACAUUUGGAAACGAAUGCUAAUACCGCAUAAAAACUUUAAACACAAGUUUUAAGUUUGAAAGAUGCAAUUGCAUCACUCAAAGAUGAUCCCGCGUUGUAUUAGCUAGUUGGUGAGGUAAAGGCUCACCAAGGCGAUGAUACAUAGCCGACCUGAGAGGGUGAUCGGCCACCUUGGGACUGAGACACGGCCCAAACUCCUACGGGAGGCAGCAGUAGGGAAUCUUCGGCAAUGGACGAAAGUCUGACCGAGCAACGCCGCGUGAGUGAAGAAGGUUUUCGGAUCGUAAAACUCUGUUGGUAGAGAAGAACGUUGGUGAGAGUGGAAAGCUCAUCAAGUGACGGUAACUACCCAGAAAGGGACGGCUAACUACGUG